rnacentral:rRNA from 1 species
UUGUCGGGUAAGUUCCGACCUGCACGAAUGGCGUAAUGAUGGCCAGGCUGUCUCCACCCGAGACUCAGUGAAAUUGAACUCGCUGUGAAGAUGCAGUGUACCCGCGGCAAGACGGAAAGACCCCGUGAACCUUUACUAUAGCUUGACACUGAACAUUGAGCCUUGAUGUGUAGGAUAGGUGGGAGGCUUUGAAGUGUGGACGCCAGUCUGCAUGGAGCCGACCUUGAAAUACCACCCUUUAAUGUUUGAUGUUCUAACGUGGACCCGUAAUCCGGGUUGCGGACAGUGUCUGGUGGGUAGUUUGACUGGGGCGGUCUCCUCCUAAAGAGUAACGGAGGAGCACGAAGGUUGGCUAAUCCUGGUCGGACAUCAGGAGGUUAGUGCAAUGGCAUAAGCCAGCUUGACUGCGAGCGUGACGGCGCGAGCAGGUGCGAAAGCAGGUCAUAGUGAUCCGGUGGUUCUGAAUGGAAGGGCCAUCGCUCAACGGAUAAAAGGUACUCCGGGGAUAACAGGCUGAUACCGCCCAAGAGUUCAUAUCGACGGCGGUGUUUGGCACCUCGAUGUCGGCUCAUCACAUCCUGGGGCUGAAGUAGGUCCCAAGGGUAUGGCUGUUCGCCAUUUAAAGUGGUACGCGAGCUGGGUUUAGAACGUCGUGAGACAGUUCGGUCCCUAUCUGCCGUGGGCGCUGGAGAACUGAGGGGGGCUGCUCCUAGUACGAGAGGACCGGAGUGGACGCAUCACUGGUGUUCGGGUUGUCAUGCCAAUGGCACUGCCCGGUAGCUAAAUGCGGAAGAGAUAAGUGCUGAAAGCAUCUAAGCACGAAACUUGCCCCGAGAUGAGUUCUCCCUGAGACUUUAGGUCUCCUGAAGGAACGUUGAAGACGACGACGUUGAUAGGCCGGGUGUGUAAGCGCAGCGAUGCGUUGAGCUAACCGGUACUAAUGAACCGUGAGGCUUAACCUUACAACGCCGAAG